rnacentral:lncRNA from 1 species
GACCUUUUUUGUAGGAUUUUAACAUUUUUAACUAAUUUAUAUAUAUGAUAUCUUUAGUUAAACUUAUGUCCAAAUUUGUUUUGGUAGAUACAAAAAUAGCUUUCAGUUUUCAAUUCCUAUAUAUAGACAUAGGCUUUUUAGAAACUUUUAAACAAAAAUUCAGAACAUAUAAAGUGUAGGGAAGUUCUAUUAAUCAUUUUCAUAAAAUGUUGGAUAGUAGUUGGGCGAACGAAUGUUUAAAAUGCUUAAAUAUCUUCAACCAAAUUAUUCAAUAAAGAUUAAGUAAAGUACAAGCACCAGUAAAAACAUAUAUAUGAUGUAAGAAAUGGAAUAAUUUAGAAACUUAUUCUCAUGGAAAGAGUCAUAAUAAACAAAAAAAUAUAUCCAGAGUAAAAUAAAUAAAAAGUAAUAAUAAUACAACCUUAACAGUAAAAUUCAAAGCAAAGUAUUUUUUUUAUUAAAGCUGAGAAAAAAAGAGCAACGUAAACAGUACUCUGAGAAGUGAUAACAAUAGAUUUGAAGUGAAAUUAUACAAUUGUCACUCAACCAACUCCAAAUAAACAACAUUAUAUAUGUAAAAUGUGGCUCAAGGCCAAGGCCUAGGACUAGGAGCCAUGCAAUGUUCUGAAUCUAGUUGUGAGCUAGUCAACUAGUCUUUGUAAAUUAAAACAUCUUUGGUCUUAACAUUAAAACCGAAAAAUAAAACUAGCCUUUGUACAUAGUUGUAUGUUUUUGAGUU